rnacentral:rRNA from 1 species
GAUGAACGCUGGCGGCGUGCCUAAUACAUGCAAGUAGAACGCUGAAGGAGGGGCUUGCUCUUCUGGAUGAGUUGCGAACGGGUGAGUAACGCGUGGGUAACCUGCCUGGUAGCGGGGGAUAACUAUUGGAAACGAUAGCUAAUACCGCAUGACAACAGUUAUUGCAUGAUAACUGUUUAAAAGGGGCAACUGCUCCACUACCAGAUGGACCUGCGUUGUAUUAGCUAGUUGGUGAGGUAACGGCUCACCAAGGCGACGAUACAUAGCCGACCUGAGAGGGUGAUCGGCCACACUGGGACUGAGACACGGCCCAGACGCCUACGGGAGGCAGCAGUAGGGAAUCUUCGGCAAUGGACGGAAGUCUGACCGAGCAACGCCGCGUGAGUGAAGAAGGUUUUCGGAUCGUAAAGCUCUGUUGUAAGAGAAGAACGAGUGUGAGAGUGGAAAGGUCACACUGUGACGGUAGCUUACCAGAAAGGGACGGCUAACUACGUGC